AACCUCCGCAAUGUACGAAAGUGCGACGGGGGGAUCCCAAGUGUUAUGCUUUUUUGUAUAACUUUUCAUUAGUGUAAAAAGCUUUUAGAAUAAGAGCUGGGCAAGACCGGUGCCAGCCGCCGCGGUAACACCGGCAGCUCGAGUGGUAGCUGUUUUUAUUGGGCCUAAAGCGUUCGUAGCCGGUUUGAUAAGUCUUUGGUGAAAGCUUGUAGCUUAACUAUAAGAAUUGCUGGAGAUACUAUCAGACUUGAAGUCGGGAGAGGUUAGAGGUACUACCGGGGUAGGGGUGAAAUCCUAUAAUCCUGGGAGGACCACCUGUGGCGAAGGCGUCUAACUGGAACGAUCUUGACGGUGAGUAACGAAAGCCAGGGGCGCGAACCGGAUUAGAUACCCGGGUAGUCCUGGCCGUAAACGAUGUGGACUUGGUGUUGGAAUGGCUUUGAGUUGUUCCGGUGCCGAAGGGAAGCUGUUAAGUCCACCGCCUGGGAAGUACGGUCGCAAGACUGAAACUUAAAGGAAGU
rnacentral:rRNA from 1 species